rnacentral:misc_RNA from 1 species
GCCGCCCCUUUCCCGUCCCUCACGCCGCGCCUCCCGCGGCCGCUGACCGUCUGCCGAGCCUCCCCCGCCGCUUCUCCGGCCGCCGUCGGUCCCCGUGACCGCUUCCGGCUCGACAACUUGGGACCGCAGCCUGGAUCGAGGAAGCGGAACAAGAGGAAGGGGCGGGGGAUCGCCGCCGGCCAGGGGAACAGCUGCGGAUUUGGUAUGAGGGGGCAGAAGUCGAGGUCUGGGCCCGGUGUCCGACCGGGGUUUGAGGGUGGACAAAUGCCCCUCUACCGCCGCCUCCCUAAGCUCCGGGGUAUCGCAGGAGGUAUGAGUGCUGGGCUG